CCCUUAGAUGUUCGGGGCCGCACGCGCGCUACACUGAAGGACUCAGCGUGUCUCUCCCCCUAUCCCGAAAGGGAUGGGCAACCCGUUGAACCUCCUUCGUGCUAGGGAUUGGGGUUUGCAAUUAUCCCCCAUGAACGAGGAAUUCCUAGUAAGCGCGAGUCAGCAGCUCGCGCUGAUUACGUCCCUGCCCUUUGUACACACCGCCCGUCGCUCCUACCAAUGGGUGAUCCGGUGAAUGACUCGGACUCUGGAAUUAGCUAUUUAUAGCUUUUAUCCGGAGGAAGUUUUGUGAACCUUAUCACUUGGAGGAAGGAGAAGUCGUAACA
rnacentral:rRNA from 1 species